AUUCUGCAGGAAUGCGAGCCUCCUGCCUUAAUAAGAAGACAUUUGACAAUGCUCUUAGCUGUCUUUGAUGCCACCAUGUCUUCCUGAUCUGGGUCACACAUAAUCAGAGGCUUAGCAAGUAUCAGCUUCUGGGAUAGUUGGAGUGUUAUUCCAAGUAGAGGUAGGAUAGGAGGUGAAAUGACCAAGAUCAGUGGUUCCCAAGUGAGCUCACCCUCCAGCUCUGCCCCUAUCCCCCAGGCUGUGCCCAAGAAUCAGAAUGUGAGUCCAACUGCCCAGCUGAUUCUAAUGCCCAACCAGUUUGAGGGACCAACAGACUGCCUUUCAGUCUCAGACGGUGCAACCACCGUCAAGGAUGGAGACAAGGAUGAGACAAGGACCAAAGAUGACCAAGACGAGGAAGUGCCACCGAUGAGGAUGAACUACCAUCAUUGUGAGGAAGGACAUCUGGAUAUUUCAGAAUUUAUCAGAAAAGAAAGUCCCCCCUCCACUUCCAAGGAAACUACACAAACCAGAGGAACCAUCUGCAAUUCCCACAAGGGAGGAAGGGCAGUUCAAUGGAGGACCGUCUGCAGCAUGAAUUCCUCCCCAUCCUUUAAGGUCAGCUCCCAGCAGGCAGACAUCACACCUUCCUGGAGACGGCCAGUCUAUUUUACCCCUUGUGUAGGGCCCUCACCACUUCUGCUGGGUAUUCGAAUAAUUAAUGGACAAUUCUCACUGUCCCGUUUCAGGAGUGAGCUCUUUGAGGGUAGGAGUGUGGACCAGGGAUGUAGCAGGUGCUCAACAAAUUUUUGUUUAAUUAAAAAAAAGAAACAAAGUCUUACUGAUUCUUUACACUGCAAUGGCAGGAGGAGCAAAAUGUAA
rnacentral:lncRNA from 1 species